rnacentral:lncRNA from 1 species
AUUCGGCGGCCACGAAGCCCGCAGCUGCAGCCGAGGCUUAGACGGUGCCUAGCGAUGUCUGCUGCAAAGCUCAAAAGUGCUGCUGAUCUCCCAGUGCUUCUGGCCGUAUUCCGGUGGGGUUGCCUCCGUGGACAUGAAGGCUUCGAAAAAGGAUCUGUGGGCCGGGCGCGGUGGCUCAUGCCUGUGAUCCCAGCCCUUUGGGAGGCCGAGGUGAAUGUAAAAGCUUUAAAGAGAAAUUCAUGAAGUGUCUUCAUAACAAUAAUUUUGAAAAUGCUUUGUGCAGAAAGGAAUCAAAAGAAUAUUUAGAAUGCAGGAUGGAGAGGUGAGUACAGCUAAGCGUUAUGAUUUCCACCUCCCACUACUCCAAUUAAAACUUUUUUUUUCCUGAAAGGCCAUUACAGUGUGUCUUUUUCAGGCCUGGGAUUCAGCUUGUGUUUUUCAGGACUGUGGAAUUGUUUGCCCUUGAAAUGGAGGCUUAUCAGAUGAAAUUGUACCAAAAGCUGUUUCACAAUCUUGGGAACCUCUUCUUGAGCGAUAGCGUUAUACAUGAUUGCAUUCCUG